rnacentral:rRNA from 1 species
GAUGAACGCUGGCGGCGUGCUUAACACAUGCAAGUCGAGCGAAGCACUUAAGUUUGAUUCUUCGGAUGAAGACUUUUGUGACUGAGCGGCGACGGGUGAGUAACGCGUGGGUAACCUGCCUCGUACAGGGGGAUAACAGUUAGAAAUGACUGCUAAUACCGCAUAAGACCACAGGAACGCAUGAUCCGGUGGUAAAAACUCCGGUGGUAUGAGAUGGACCCGCGUCUGAUUAGCUAGUUGGUGGGGUAACGGCUCACCAAGGCGACGAUCAGUAGCCGACCUGAGAGGGUGACCGGCCACAUUGGGACUGAGACACGGCCCAA